rnacentral:rRNA from 1 species
ACCUGCGGAAGGAUCAUUACCGAGUGAGGGCCCUCUGGGUCCAACCUCCCACCCGUGUUUAUUUUACCUUGUUGCUUCGGCGGGCCCGCCUUAACUGGCCGCCGGGGGGCUUACGCCCCCGGGCCCGCGCCCGCCGAAGACACCCUCGAACUCUGUCUGAAGAUUGUAGUCUGAGUGAAAAUAUAAAUUAUUUAAAACUUUCAACAACGGAUCUCUUGGUUCCGGCAUCGAUGAAGAACGCAGCGAAAUGCGAUACGUAAUGUGAAUUGCAAAUUCAGUGAAUCAUCGAGUCUUUGAACGCACAUUGCGCCCCCUGGUAUUCCGGGGGGCAUGCCUGUCCGAGCGUCAUUGCUGCCCUCAAGCACGGCUUGUGUGUUGGGCCCCGUCCUCCGAUCCCGGGGGACGGGCCCGAAAGGCAGCGGCGGCACCGCGUCCGGUCCUCGAGCGUAUGGGGCUUUGUCACCCGCUCUGUAGGCCCGGCCGGCGCUUGCCGAUCAACCCAAAUUUUUAUCCAGGUGACCUCGGAU